rnacentral:rRNA from 1 species
AUUGAACGCUGGCGGUAGGCCUAACACAUGCAAGUCGAACGCGAGAGUCCUUCGGGAUGAGUAGAGUGGCGGACGGGUGAGUAACGCGUAGGAAUCUAUCCUGUAGUGGGGGAUAACGUUUCGAAAGGAACGCUAAUACCGCAUACGCCCCAAGGGGGAAAGCGGGGAUCUUCGGACCUCGUGCUAUAGGAGGAGCCUGCGUCGGAUUAGCUAGUUGGUGAGGUAAAGGCUCACCAAGGCGACGAUCCGUAGCUGGUCUGAGAGGAUGAUCAGCCACACCGGAACUGAGACACGGUCCGGACUCCUACGGGAGGCAGCAGUGGGGAAUAUUGGACAAUGGGCGCAAGCCUGAUCCAGCCACGCCGCGUGGGUGAUGAAGGCC